AGAAUAUGUAACGACUGCGGUGCCUUACCCCCGGAUGGGAAGGCAUAAUAACGAAGCCGGUUAAAGUCCGGCGCUGUCGCGCAACUGUAUUCCACACUUCGUGUGGAGAGCCAGGUCGAACACCGUAGUUGUUGUUUCCAC
rnacentral:ncRNA from 2 species